rnacentral:lncRNA from 1 species
UUAAGAACAAAAUAAAAUACUAGAAGUACUUGAAGAACAAAGGAAACUUAACUUUCUUAGAGUUGCUAGUAUGAUGAUAAAAUGUAUUUUCUCAUCUUAAAAUGCCUUCUAUUACCUUGAAGUUCUUGUUUCACAUAAGAUUGUUUCAGUAUAUUUAUGUUUUCACCUUUACUUUUCUGGAAUUAACCCCAACCUCUUCUCAAGCCUUAAUAAUGACCCUUUGAAUAUCCAGAAGGUAUAUAUGUGUGUCCUCGAAAAAACACAGAGUGCGUGGCAUGUGCAGAGCAGGUACUUGGUUACAUAUAUGAUGUAAGAAUGGGUAUAAUAACAUUCAUAACUUCUGUGGUAAUGUCCCAACUAUAGUCUCUUGACUUAUAAAAUCUUAAAACAAUGGUGAAAACAAUUGGAACUUUAAAUAUAAAACUUCCACAAGGGGCAUGUGUAUCCCCUUCUAUAUUCUUCUAUAGCCCUACCUAUUGAAUAUUUCUUAGGGGAUAAUCUUGGAAAAAAUGCU